GACUUCCAGGAGUUCAUACCUCUCAUCGCCAUGGUGACAUCAGCAUGCCACGAUCUGUUCAUGUUGGAGCACA